ensembl:lncRNA
GUGUGUGUGUGUGUGUGUCCAGCAUGCUGGUUUACAGGCAACGCCAGGCCUGAGGAGUUUGCAUGCUGAAGCCAGCCACACCUGUCGCCCAUUAUCCUCAUCAGCGGCCCCACUACUUAACACUGUGGCUAACCUUCAGUCGACGCUGGAUUGUUGAGUGACACAGUCAGUACAUCCCCAGCUGUGAGGAACCUGGGAAGGAGUGUGUUGCGGGAGCAGAGCACAGUUGUAAAUAUUGAGUGUUGGGAUUUCACCUCUCACCAUGGACCACAAGCACAGUGUCAUAGUCCGGUAAUCCUCUGGAUGUCAGUGCUUCCAGCUGCUACACCUGCUGCUUAAUCCGCUGGUCAACUCGCAGAUCCUCCACAGCUCUUUACCUGCCCAGUAGAGAUCCUUCAUGGAUUCACCUGUUCUCACACCCGGGCCACUUACCCCCCUCCACGCUUCGUGUUCACCUGCAUUAAAUGACUGUAAGGUUUCUUUUUUCCUUGACUUGAUCUCACGGUUCCUGCUCCAGAUGUUACCCGGUGUCGGGUUCCCCCCUUCGGUCCGCGACAACCCCAAGAGACUCUCACGGACCCCACUCCCCUGUUUAGUGAUAAACAGUGAUAGACCAGUGUCUCGUUUUUUUUUUUUGUUUUUUUUUUUUAAGUUUAGGUUGCUCAGCCCGUUAGAGUCUGUUUCACAGUGUGUCAUUAAAGCGUUUGAAUGUUGCCCUUAGAUUAAUAGUGUAGUUUUGUUCACAGUACCUUCAUAGAAAUAGCGUAUCUUCAUAGUAUUGCGGCUAAGAGCCCGCUCACAGUAUUUCUCCUUUUAAGAAGUUAAGUUGCACUUCCAGCGUACAACUUUAAUCCCGCCUUCUGUAAUGUGUUAAGUUACUUUAACUUAGUAUCCUGUCUCGCCUUCUCUUAGUUUAUAGUGGAUGUGUUAUGUGUGUUUUGUAUCCUUGUGCAUUUAGUCUUAUCUUUCGAAUUCUCAGUUUCUCUGUCUGAGUGGUGUCUGCACCUGAGUCCAUUUCCUGUUUUUGGCCGUGACACACAGCACGGGAGUCAGGAGUUACCAUGGAAGGAGUCACGUUUUGGAAACUGUUUCCAUUUACUCUUCAUUAUUCACUGUAAAUAAACUCACUGUUGCUAACCAGGAAG